rnacentral:rRNA from 1 species
CCUACGGGAGGCAGCAGUGGGGAAUAUUGCACAAUGGGGGAAACCCUGAUGCAGCGACGCCGCGUGAGUGAAGAAGUAUUUCGGUAUGUAAAGCUCUAUCAGCAGGGAAGAAGAAAGACGGUACCUGACUAAGAAGCCCCGGCUAACUACGUGCCAGCAGCCGCGGUAAUACGUAGGGGGCAAGCGUUAUCCGGAUUUACUGGGUGUAAGGGGAGCGUAGACGGCUGGUCAAGUCUGAAGUGAAAGCCCAGGGCUCAACCCUGGGACUGCUUUGGAAACUGUGGAGCUAGAGUGCUGGAGAGGUAAGUGGAAGUCCUAGUGUAGCGGUGAAAUGCGUAGAUAUUAGGAGGAACACCAGUGGCGAAGGCGGUCUGCUGGACAGCAACUGACGCUGAGGCGCGAAAGCGUGGGGAGCAAACAGGAUUAGAUACCCGUGUAGUC